rnacentral:rRNA from 1 species
UACGGAGGGUGCAAGCGUUGCUCGGAAUCACUGGGCGUAAAGCGACCGCAGGCGGCCUGACAAGUCGGAUGUGAAAGCCCUGGGCUCAACUCAGGAAUUGCAUUCGAAACUGGUAGGCUCGAGUACGGGAGAGGGGGGUGGAAUUCCUGGUGUAGGGGUGAAAUUCGUUGAUAUCAGGAGGAACACCGGCGGCGAAGGCGGCCCCCUGGCCCGCAACUGACGCUCAUGGUCGAAAGCGUGGGGAGCAAGCAGG